rnacentral:rRNA from 1 species
AUGAAGCCCAGCACCAAGAAGAAAUCCAAGAAGAAGAAGCGGCCCUCGCCGGCGGCCGCCAACGGGGUGGCGCCGCCGACCCCUCCGGCGCCGGGGUCCUCCCCGCGCUCGCCGCUCGCCGAAACCCUAACCCUAGCCGCCGCGGCCUCGGAGACGGAGUCGAGCGGCAGCGGCAGCGGGAGCGGCGGGGACGCCUCCGGGUACGCCCGCGCCUUCACCUCCAGCUCGUCGGGCGCCGCGUCCACCUCCUCGUUCUACGCCCCCUCCUCGACCGACUCCGCCGCGUCCUCCUCGGCCACGGGCGACGAGCGGCGAGACCUCGCCUGGCUGCUCGAGGCCUUCGGCAGCGCCACCAUCGACCAGGUCGACUCGGCCUACCGCGAGGCCGGCGGCGACCCCUUCCUCGCGGCCGGCAUCCUCGGCUCCACGCAGGACAUGCAGCCGCCGCCGCCGCCACCGCCAGAUCUCUCCCCGCGCGCCGGAUCUGCUGGGAGGAAGCCGGCUCGCAGGCCCAGGAAGCUUCCCGUGGCCGCGUCUGGCAUCGUCGCGGACGUGAUCGGCAAGGGCUACUCGCGGCCUGCCACGCCGCCUGUAAGCGCGACCGAGAGAAGUGGGUGGAAGGGGAAGGGGAAGGACAUGGAUGGAGAAAGCGUCAGCAACGGCUGGAAUGAUGAGAGAAACGGGGGGAGAGAAAGCAGAGGUGCCGAUCCCACGCUUAAUGUUGAGGAGGCCGAGCAGUUCCUCUGCUCCAUGCUUGGAGAUCAUUCUGAGCUCAGCAUGGGUGUGGUCAAAGACGUGCUGGGUCAGUCUGGAUAUGAUGUUGAGCAGUUCCCAGAAGAAAUACCUGGUAUGUCAUACAAUCACUCUGAAAGGCAACAUGAAUUCUUCUGGGGGGAACAACAGAGCAGUAGCUACAUGAAGGCUGUUUGCGAGGUGGAACACUCGGCAACACCGUCUCCAAGAUCGGCGGUGGUGGAUUCCAAGAUGCCACAACAAGUCUUGGAGUCGCUGUUCAAAAUACCUGAAAGACGCACAUACGAGCCAAGUAAAAUGGACUGGAAGAAGGUCGUGAAGAAGCUGCAGUCAUAUAAUCAUCCCAUCACAGCAAGCAAUCAAGAAAGACCAAAAAGGGAUGGGUAUCGAGAGUUCCGUGGUGUUUCUGCUAGGCAUUAUGAUACGAUGAAAGGGUACUAUCAGAAAGCUGCUGUGGCAUAUUCCAAAGGAGAUAAAUCUUAUGCCUCGUACCUUGCAGAGGAGGGAAAACAUUAUCGGGAAUUGGGUCGCAAGGAAGAUGAGAAGGCCAGCAGGGAGAUAUUUGAAGCCAGAAACAAGCAUAUAACAAACACGGUGACUAUUGACUUGCAUGGUCAACAUGUCAAGCAAGCUAUGAAGCUCCUCAAAGUUCACAUGCUGGUUUGUGUAUGCAUGCCAUCCCUUCUUAGAGUAAUUACUGGUUGUGGUGUUGAAGGUACAGGGAAAGGAAAGAUAAAACGAUCGGUUAUCGAGCUUGUGGAGAAGGAAGGCAUCGAGUGGUAUGAAGGGAACUCCGGAACCAUAGUUCUUCGACUAGGCGGGCCAAGAGAAUACCGCUUCCUGGAGCAUGACAGCGAUUCUGACUGA